GUACACUGAGCUUUGACUGACAGAUUUGUUAACAGGAAGAAAUGCAGGUGUUAGUGAGUGAGAGACACCACUGAUAACUGCCAAUCACGCUUCUGUACGUCAUCCACCCGCCCCCUCUUAAACUGACGCAUGUGCCUGAAGCAGAAUUUGCUGUUUUUAAAGUUACCACAUCAACAAAGUUAUGAUUUUGAUCUGUCUCAUGUAUCACUGAUUCUGGAUCUUCAAUGUCAUCAAGGUGGACUGAUGAGGACAGAAUCUUCUCUGGUGAAGCUGCACCUUCUGAAAGAUGGAUGAGACGGCCAUCCUACAAACUUCCCCACAGUGGAGAUAAAGGAGCGAGGAGUAACAUCCAUGCGACAGGAAGGAGAGCUCUGAGGUCUGGACAUGGAGCUGCAAGCAGAGACCAGACAAAUGGCAAAGAGCUUCCUCCUCUUCAUCAGCACUAAGGUGUUUGGGGGUCUAGGAUCUCCAGACCCCCAACGCUCUCAGUGAGCUAUCCCAUGUGACAGCAGACAGCCAAUGAGGUGACAUCACUCAGAGCUGUAACCAGAUUCCACGGUCCUCCACACAGCAGUUUCAGGAAACGUCACCAGCCUGCUUCCCUGCACAGCAACCGCUCGUCCUCUUCAUGUUUUAAAGUGUUCUUCCUGUUUUCAUGUAAC